UGUGAUACACAGAGAUGAAACUGGUUUUCACAGCUUGACCACAUAUUAUCCCCUCCACCCAUGCCGUUUCGGAAAUGCAGCAACCCAGAUGUGGCUUCUGGCCCUGGAAAAUCACUGAAGUAUAAAAGACAGCUGAGUGAGGAUGGAAGACAGCUAAGGCGAGGGAGCCUGGGAGGAGCCCUGACUGGGAGGUACCUCCUUCCAAACCCGGUGGCGGGACAGGCCUGGCCGGCCUCUGCAGAGACGUCCAACCUCGUGCGCAUGCGCAGCCAGGCCCUGGGCCAGUCGGCGCCCUCGCUCACCG
rnacentral:lncRNA from 1 species